rnacentral:tRNA from 1 species
GCGUGGCCGAGUGGUUAAGGCGAUGGACUAGAAAUCCCUUGGGGUCUCCCCGCACAGGUUCGAAUCCUGUCGACUGCG